rnacentral:rRNA from 1 species
UACGUAGGGCGCAAGCGUUGUCCGGAAUUAUUGGGCGUAAAGAGCUCGUAGGCGGCUUGUCACGUCGGGUGUGAAAGCCCGGGGCUUAACCCCGGGUCUGCAUUCGAUACGGGCUAGCUAGAGUGUGGUAGGGGAGAUCGGAAUUCUUGGUGUAGCGGUGAAAUGCGUAGAUAUCAAGAGGAACACCUGAGGUGAAGACGGGUUGCUGGGCUGACACUGACGCUGAGGUGCGAAAGCGUGGGGAGCAAACAGG